GACGAACGCUGGCGGCGUGCCUAACACAUGCAAGUCAGGGAGAAGGAGGUAGCAAUACUUCCGGAAACCGGCGCACGGGUGAGUAACACGUAGGUAACCUACCCUCGGGCGGGGAACAACAUCGAGAAAUCGGUGCUAAUACCGCAUAACGCAACGAGACCGCAUGGUUUUGUUGUUAAAGAUCCGACAAGGAUCACCUGAGGAUGGACCUGCCGCCCGAUUAGCUAGUUGGCGGAGUAAAAGCCCACCAAGGCAACGAUCGGUAGCCGACCUGAGAGGGUGAUCGGCCACACUGGAACUGAGAUACGGUCCAGACUCCUACGGGAGGCAGCAGUGAGGAAUAUUGGUCAA
rnacentral:rRNA from 1 species